rnacentral:rRNA from 1 species
AGAGUUUGAUCCUGGCUCAGAACGAACGCUGGCGGCAUGCUUAACACAUGCAAGUUGAACGAAGGUCCGAGGCUUGCUUCGGGUACCUUAGUAGCGAACGGGUGAGUAACGCGUGGGAAUCUACCUAGAAAUGGGGAAUAACUACUGGAAACGGUAGCUAAUACCGCAUAAUCCCUUCGGGGCAAAGGCUUCGGCCGUUUUUAGAUGAGCCCGCGUUAGAUUAGAUUGUUGGUGGGGUAAUGGCCUACCAAAUCUUCUAUCUAUAGCUGGUCUGAGAGGAUGAUCAGCCACACUGGGACUGAGACACGGCCCAGACUCCUACGGGAGGCAGCAGUGGGGAAUAUUGGACAAUGGGGGAAACCCUGAUCCAGCAAUGCCGCGUGAGUGAUGAAGGCCUUAGGGUUGUAAAGCUCUUUCAGAAGUGAAGAUGAUGACGGUAACUUCAGAAGAAGCUCCGGCUAACUCCGUGCCAGCAGCCGCGGUAAUACGGAGGGAGCUAGCGUUGUUCGGAAUUACUGGGCGUAAAGNGCGUGUAGGCUGUUNGNUNAGUCAGAGGUGAAAUCCCUAAGCUCAACUUAGGAACUGCCUUUGAUACUAUCNUACUAGAGAUCGAGAGAAGUUAGCGGAAUUCCAAGUGUAGAGGUGAAAUUCGUAGAUAUUUGGAAGAACACCUGUGGCGAAAGCGGCUAACUGGCUCGUUUCUGACGCUGAGACGCGAAAGCGUGGGUAGCAAACAGGAUUAGAUACCCUGGUAGUCCACGCCGUAAACGAUGAGUGCUAGCCG